rnacentral:misc_RNA from 1 species
CCAUGAUAAAUACUACAGCCAUACAACAAAGGACUAACCAAAAAAGGAAAAGAAAAGAAGGGGAAAAAAACAUAAAAUUAACAACAAAAUGGUAGGAUCUUACUUCACUAACUAGCCUUGACUUUGUCAUCCCCAACAACAGAGAGUAUUGGCAAGCUGCUCAAAAAUUCAUCAAGACCCUCAAAAAACGCAAUCCCUUCAAUAUUAUCCUCCUCCCCAUUUCCAGCUCCAUGUUGUUCGCUCACUCCUGGCACUGCCUCUUCCACCUCAUUGCUAAACAUUACAUUCAA